AAUAAGUGCAGCCAUGAGUUUUCGCGUCCAACUUUGAUCGUUCGUCUUAUUCGAAAUUCUUUUAUAAUUAGCAUUUUUGUUGUUAUAAGAUGAUAAAACAUGAAUAGUACUUUACUCGUGACUUAUGUUUUUAAUUUUUUUUAAAAAAUUUCAAAUAAGACGAAUGGUCAAAGUUGGGCGCGGAAAACUAUGGCUGCACUUAUU
rnacentral:pre_miRNA from 1 species